rnacentral:rRNA from 1 species
AGAGUUUGAUCCUGGCUCAGGACGAACGCUGGCGGCGUGCCUAAUACAUGCAAGUCGAGCGGACUUAUCUUUCGGGGUAAGUUAGCGGCGGACGGGUGAGUAACACGUAGGCAACCUGCCUGUAAGACCGGGAUAACUACCGGAAACGGUAGCUAAGAGCGGAUAGCCGGGCUGAACGCAUGUUCGGUUCAUGAAACACG